rnacentral:rRNA from 1 species
UUGGGUAAGCUGAAAGGGAAGCUGGUUAAUAUUCCAGCACCAUGAAAGUACGUGGCAACACAAAGAGUGUUUUUCUGACUCUUCGAGAUAGCUUGAGUGCAGCUGUCGCUGUAUCUAAGCUUGCGAAGACUGUGGAGUGCUGUAACAGUGAGAAACAGUCGAAGCGGUGAAUGGCCGUCGUAGGACGGUUCAGGCAAGUCUUGGAGACCGUGAAAACGAAAACACUUUGGAUCUUUCAUGACCGUACCAAGAACUGACACAGGUGCCCCUAGCUUAGUAGGCUCAGGCGUGACGAGGUUAACCCUGCUUAGGGAAGUCGGCAAAUUAGCCCCGAAGCUUAGGUAUAAGGGGUGCCUGCCCUGAAAAGGGCAGGUUGCAAUAACUAGGGAGUUCCGACUGUUUAAUAAAAACGUAGGUCUCCGCGAAACCGUAAGGUCUUGUAUGGAGGCUGAUACCUGCCCAGCGGUGGUAUCUCAAACCCCGGUCCAACGGGGCCAAGGACCACUAAACGGCGGGGGUAACUAUGACCCUCUUAAGGUAGCGUAAUACCUUGCCGCUUAAUUGGCGGCUUGCAUGAAUGGUAUAACGAGAUCUCCGCUGUCCCAAGCAGGGGCUCGGUGAACCUACAAUUCCGGUGAAUAGGCCGGAGACUUCCAGCGGGAAGCGAAGACCCCGUGGAGCUUUACAGCAACCUGUUGUUGGAUUGCGAUUAAUGUUGCGCAGUGUAGGUGGGAGACGUUUGAGUUUGCGGUUUCGGCCGUGAGUUAGUCGAAAAUUGAGACACCACCCAGGAUUGAUUACAAUCCUUACCAACCUUUACCGGUUGGAACACCAGCAGGCGGGCUGUUCGGCUGGGGCGGUACACCGUUGAAAAGAUAUCGACGGUAUCUAAUAGUUGGCUCAGUCGGGACAGAAAUCCGACGUAGAGGAUAAGACCAAAAGCCAGCUUGACUGGAUUUCGAAUAACAAGUAAUCCAGAGACGAAAGUCAAGUCUAGCGAACCCUGGUACCCCACAUGUGGGGGUCCGGGCUGAUGGAAAAGCUACCCCGGGGAUAACUGAGUGGUGGCGGGCAAGAGUACAUAUCGACCCCGCCGCUUGCUACUUCGCUGUCGGCUCACUGCAUCCUGGCCGUGCAGAAGCGGCCAAGGGUGGGGUUGUUCGCCCAUUAAAGUGGUACGUGAGCUGGGUUUAGAACGUCGCGAGACAGUUUGGCGGCAUCUACUGGAAGUGUUAAUUUCCUGAGGGGAAGGAUUGUCUAGUACGAGAGGAACGACGGCCCGCAGCCUCUGGUCGACCGGUUGUCUGACAAGGCAUUGCCGGGUAGCUACGCUGCACGCUGAUAAAGGCUGAAAGCAUCUAAGCCUGAAGCAGCCCCCAAAAAGAGGAAAUUCACGAGUUCCCGUAAAAGACGGGUUUGAUAGGCGGGGGAUGCACGCACGAAGGCUUCGGCCGACGUGUUCAGUCCACCCGAACUAAACACUCUACCAAAAA